GCAGAUAAAUACAGAGUUGGUAGCUGAGUUAGUCAAGACUUUCCUAGAGGUAUACAUCCACAAUGAAUCGCUGGAGUUUGGCUCUUCUUGUGCUUGUUGCACUUGCAGGAAUAAUCAGUGAACAAGAUGGAGUUGAAGUAGAAGCCUGGAAUUGUGCAAAUGGCAGAGGUUAUUGUAGAAAAGUUUGUUUUUCACAUGAGAAACCUUAUUCUUUUCAUGGAUGUCCUCCUCAACACAGGUGCUGCACACCUAAAUGAUUCCCAUCCACGAAGUGAAAAUAUGUUGAUCUGAUUCAUAACUGCAAGAAAGUUGCUUCAGAAUUCAUCUUGCUUAUGCCAUCAGAAGAUAAUUCAUCAUAAAAACAGAUGCUGAGCUUCUCUGCUACCCCAGAAAACAUUAAUGACAAGAAUUCUGAUGAAAAAAUAAAUGAUUUUCCAUAACCUGUUUUCACAAAAUAUUUAUGCUGUUAAUUUUGAUAUCAAAACACAGUUUAGAUAGUGUAAGUUUUGAUGUCAUAAUGCACUAACUUCAUUAAGCUCUUGUUAUUAUCUUUUGCAAAUAAAAAGGCAUUUAACAAUU